UACAGAGGUCUCAAGCGUUGUUCGGAUUCAUUGGGCGUAAAGGGUGCGUAGGUGGCGAGGCAAGUCAGAUGUGAAAUCCCGGGGCUCAACCCCGGAACUGCAUUUGAAACUGCCUUGCUCGAGUACUGGAGAGGAGACUGGAAUUUACGGUGUAGCAGUGAAAUGCGUAGAUAUCGUAAGGAAGACCAGUGGCGAAGGCGAAUCUCUGGACAGUUACUGACACUGAGGCUCGAAGGCCAGGGGAGCAAACGGG
rnacentral:rRNA from 1 species